GGUACAUUGAUUAAAAUAUUAAUCAUUGGCUAUUUGAUGUCAAACAUUCAUCAAGGUAAUUAUAACAUACUACUAAAUACUGUAGGCCUAUAGAGGAAAAUAUAUCGUAUUAUCGUAACUCCAGUCAUCUCAUACAUUGUAGGUUUAUGUUCCCAAAACAACGUGCGAUCUCAACAAAACAUCAAGGAUUUCUGAUACCACAUGCAGACUACUACAAGUCAUUGCGGUUUUUUUUCGCAUGCAAAGAAUCCCAUCUGAAUGUUGGAUGACAUAUCAAGAUGACACUGAACAUGACAUAACUGAGGAAAAUGGAUGUGAGAUAAUCCAUGUGAGAUAAUCCAAUCUAACAGUUGGAAAUAAAUAUAUGUAUUUA